rnacentral:lncRNA from 1 species
GAGGUCACACCCCAAUUCAAAGGGACCUUCUACCUUGCUUUCAUAGAGUCCAUAGGGUCGUUUGACCCCAUUGACCCCACUGUGGGUCCGUCCCUAGGCACCAGCCUCCAUUUGUCUCUAAAGCCACACUACACAUACAAGAUUUUCAGCAGAAAUAUGGGGUGAAAAGUAAAAACACUGACUGGCAAACCCAUUUGCUCAAGCCAUCCAAGAGCAUUGAGAGACCACCAUCUCUA